rnacentral:rRNA from 1 species
GACGAACGCUGGCGGCGUGCUUAACACAUGCAAGUCGAACGGAAAGGCCCUGCUUUUGUGGGGUGCUCGAGUGGCGAACGGGUGAGUAACACGUGAGUAACCUGCCCUUGACUUUGGGAUAACUUCAGGAAACUGGGGCUAAUACCGUAUAGGAGCCCCUGCUGCAUGGUGGGGGUUGGAAAGUUUCGGCUGUUGGGGAUGGACUCGCGGCUUAUGAGCUUGUUGGUGGGGUAGUGGCAUACCAAGGCUUUGCCGGGUAGCCGGCCUGAUAGGGUGACCGGCCACAAUGGGACUAAGAUACGGCCCAGACUCCUACGGGACGCAGCAGUGGAGAAUAUUGCACAAUGGGCGGAAGCCUGAAGCAGAAGCGCCGCGUGCGGGAUGACGGCCUUCGGGUUUUAAACCGCUUUCGCCUGUGACGAAGCGUGAGUGACGGUAAUGGGUAAAGAAGCACCGGCUAACUACGUG